AAGACAUUUAUCUUAAGCAUGGAAGUGUUCAUAUAUUAUAAUUGUAUCAGGACUAUAUGGUUAGAAAUUUGUUAUUGACGUCUAAGAUUGUAUGAAGUCUUGUGUUUUACUUUGACGAUUGAACAAUUAGUUUCAUUAUUUUGUAACUCAUGUAUGAAGCUUGUUCCCAUGCCAAUAUUUUGUUAAACUAUAGAGCCAUUGCUCUUGACUCUAAAAUUUCAGGCAUAUGAUUGUUUUUACUUAACACUGUAGAGAGAAAAGAACUAUUUCUUCUGAAUCUUCACGUGGACCGAGUUUUAUUAAACUUUUAAGAUGGGGUUUCAUUGAAAUCUAUGUUCUUGUUUUACCUCACAUAUAAAAAAGAAGAUGUGGUAUGAUUGCCAAUAAGACAACUCUCCACGAGAGACCAAAAUGACACAGAAAUUAACAAAUAUAGGUCAUCGUACGCGGGCCUUCAACCAUGAGCAAAAACCAUACACCGCAUAGUCAGCCAUAAAAGGCCCGGAUUUGACAAUGUAAAACAUUUCAAACGAAAAAACUAUUGCCUUAUAUAAAUAAAAAAUUGUACAUAAAACAAAUAUGUAACACAUAAACAAACGACAAC
rnacentral:lncRNA from 1 species